UCCCCUAGUAACGGCGAGUGAAGCGGGAAGAGCUCAAACUUAAAAUCUCCAUUGCUUGCAAUGGCGAAUUGUAGUCUCGAGAAGCGUUUUCAAGGCGGAUACGCGACGCUCAAGUUGCUUGGAACAGCACACCAUAGAGGGUGACAGUCCCGUAUGUAGCACCGCGUUCUGUUUACGAUGCGCUUUCUAUGAGUCGGGUUGCUUGGGAAUGCAGCCCAAAAUGGGUGGUAAACUCCAUCUAAAGCUGAAUAUGGGCACGAGACCGAUAGCGAACAAGUACCGUGAGGGAAAGAUGAAAAGAACUUUGAAAAGAAAGUUAAAUAGUACGUGAAACCGUUAGAAGGGAAGCGCAUGGAAUUAGCAAUGCUCUGCCGAGAUUCAGACGAUCGGAUUCUGGAACUGCCACUUUGCGGAUCCGAAUGGACUGUUGGUGGUGGUCUUUGGAAUCUGUUUGUCGCACUUCCCGGUUGRGCGCGUCAACAGCUGUUGGGGUCGAGCGAGAAGCCCUGCGGAAAGGUAGCUCGUUGCUUGCAAUGAGUGUUAUAGUCCGUUGUGUGCCAGCUCGAGUCCGACAGAGGCGUCGCAGCACAUGCUCCUCGGGGCUGGCUUCUCUGCCUUCAACUAGUUGUCGACUAUGGCGGACUGCUUGCAGUGCGUCUGAACUGCUGUUAGUUGUUGCGUAGAUGUAUGCACACUAUGUGCUUGGGCUGUUGGCGAUCAUAUGAUUUCAUGCGACCCGUCUUGAAACACGGACCAAGGAGUCUAACAUGUGUGCAAGUCUUCGGGUGAUCGAAACCCUCAGGCACAAUGAAAGUAAAGGCUGCUUGCAGCUGAAGUGAGAUCCCUUCUAUUCCGAUAGUUGGGCGCAUCAUUGACCGACCUAUUCUACUCCUAGAAAGGUUUGAGUAAGAGCACAUCUGUUGGGACCCGAAAGAUGGUGAACUAUGCUUGAGUAGGGUGAAGUCAGA
rnacentral:rRNA from 1 species